UACGUAGGGGGCAAGCGUUGUCCGGAUUUAUUGGGCGUAAAGAGCGUGUAGGCGGCCAGACAGGUCUGCUGUGAAAACUCGAGGCUCAACCUCGAGACGCCGGUGGAAACCGUCUGGCUAGAGUCCGGAAGAGGAGAGUGGAAUUCCCGGUGUAGCGGUGAAAUGCGCAGAUAUCGGGAAGAACACCCGUGGCGAAGGCGGCUCUCUGGGACGGUACUGACGCUGAGACGCGAAAGCGUGGGGAGCGAACAGG
rnacentral:rRNA from 1 species